rnacentral:rRNA from 1 species
UACGUAGGGGGCAAGCGUUGUCCGGAAUCAUUGGGCGUAAAGAGCGUGUAGGCGGCUCGAUAAGUCCGCCGUGAAAGUCCAGGGCUCAACCCUGGGAUGCCGGUGGAAACUGUCGGGCUAGAGUCCGGAAGGGGCGAGUGGAAUUCCUGGUGUAGCGGUGAAAUGCGCAGAUAUCGGAAGGAACACCAGUGGCGAAAGCGGCUUCCUGGUCCAGCACCGACGUUCAGGCACGAAAGCGUGGGGAGCAAACAGG